CCCAAAACCUCGCGUUCAAGUUCGUCCCCAUCUCCGACUGGCGGAAAAUGUUGCGAUCAAUUCUCAGAGCAGCAGCCGCCGCAGCCUCUAGACACCAGCCGUACAAUCGGAAUCCCUCUCCGAUCCUAUCUUUUACUUCAAAUUACUCAGCUAAGGCAACCAAAUCGGCCGUUAAGAAGGCGCCCAAGAAGGGCAAGUCCAAGGGCGACGGCAAAGCCACCGAUGAUCCCUCCGCCUCCGCUGCUGCUUCCGACGACUUAGAUGCGGCGCUUUUUGAUGAUAAAUCUCGAUCCCGACGUCUUGCUGCCGAGGAAAAUGAUCACUCACUCGACGUUGGCCCAAAUGGCCGCCCUCUCUUUACCUCCGCAUCUUCACUCUCACAGCUCACUCGCAAGGAUGCAGGCACUUAUUUCAAAUUCAAUAUGGAAGGACUAAAUGAGGCACUGCCUGAGGGUUUGCCUUUGGGAAUGGUCAAGGAGUUCGAGGAUUCUAUGCGAAGUGCUCUGCUUGUGCGGCAAAAUUUUUUGGAUCUUCGCGACAAUUUCAGGCGUGUGGUUGAUCCUUCAUUGUUGUCGCCGGCUGGUUCAAAUAUUAGAAAACAGAUCGUAUUGGAUGGUCCGGUCAAUAGUGGAAAGAGCAUUGCACUCGCCAUGCUUGUUCACUGGGCUCGCGAUGAAGGUUGGCUAGUUUUUUAUGUUCCUAGUGGGCGUCGGUGGACUCAUGGAGGAUUCUUCUAUAAAAACGCUGAAACAGGACUUUGGGAUACACCCGUUCAGGCUGAAGAUGUUCUGAGAGAUUUUCUGAAAUACAAUGAGACCCGCUUAAGACAACUGCCAUGUCAAUUAUCUGAUCCUAUACCAUUGGGAGAGGGUGUUGGUGUCAGGAUGAAGAAAGGUGCUGAUUCCAUGAUGAUGCCUGAGGGUUCAACUUUAUAUGACUUAAUUGAUACUGGAAUCAAGCACACUCAUGCAGCUGUUGGGGUGGUAGUUCGUUUAAGAAAAGAAUUAUCGCUUGUGAAAGAUAUUCCUGUGCUUUUUGCUAUUGAUCAAUAUAACAACUGGUUUACAUUCAGUGAAUUUGAAGAACCAGUGACCGUUCGUUCUACUCGACCAAUACACGCUAGAGAACUCGCAAUGGUAAAAGCUUUUAGGUCUAUGAUGCAUGACGACAUGAUGGUUGGUGCUUUCUCUCAUUCAACUGCUGUUGGAAAGUUGCGUCAAGACUUGCCAGAUGUUCCUUUAGGUGCACGUGUUAAUUUCCCUCGCUACAAUCUUGAUGAAGCAGCUUCUGUUUUUCACUAUUACCUCAGACAAAGACUGAUACGCCGCGAAGCCUUCUCAGAAGAUGCCUGGAAAAAGGUAUACUAUUUGUCAAAUGGAAAUGGAGCAGAAAUGCGGUGGUUGGUACCAUUGAUGCGGUGACAAUGACACCAAUGGGGCUAAGUGUCCUCCUUGCCUGUUCACAUCGACUGGACACGGUACCAUCGCUUAGAACUCAUGCAUAUUUCUUCACUUGGAAUUAGAUAUCCCUAACCCUCACAAGAUGCGACAUAUCAUAGGGCAUUCUGGCCUAAAAUACCGAGUCGAGUGUUUGUAUUUGUAAGUUUAGCGCACGCACAUCGGAGAAGUAACCUUUUCUACGGCACAAUUUUUAUUGCCUACUUGGGCUACACUUAUCAUCUUGUGUGUUCUUUCAUUAAUAUAUAUUCUAAAUACAUUCUUCAAUAAGGUGUUAUCUUUUAAGGAAGAACUUGAGAUGCCCAAUUUAGGCCGUUAGUUUUGCAGGCCA